GUGGGGAAUUUUGGACAAUGGGGGCAACCCUGAUCCAGCCAUCCCGCGUGUGCGAUGAAGGCCUUCGGGUUGUAAAGCACUUUUGGCAGGGAAGAAAAGUUUCGGGCUAAUACCCUGGAGCGAUGACGGUACCUGCAGAAUAAGCACCGGCUAACUACGUGCCAGCAGCCGCGGUAAUACGUAGGGUGCAAGCGUUAAUCGGAAUUACUGGGCGUAAAGCGUGCGCAGGCGGUUCGGAAAGAAAGAUGUGAAAUCCCAGGGCUUAACCUUGGAACUGCAUUUUUAACUGUCGAACUCGAGUAUGUCAGAGGGGGGUAGAAUUCCACGUGUAGCAGUGAAAUGCGUAGAGAUGUGGAGGAAUACCGAUGGCGAAGGCAGCCCCCUGGGAUAAUACUGACGCUCAUGCACGAAAGCGUGGGGAGCAAACAGGAUUAGAAACCCCGGUAGUCC
rnacentral:rRNA from 1 species